rnacentral:lncRNA from 1 species
AUGGAUGAUGCAACGGAGCCCUGGGCUGACAGCCCUGUUUGCUCCGGUCCUGGGCGGCAGCGACCACAUGCUGGACAGCGGCCAGCGCGCGGCCAGCGCGCGGCCAGGUGGUCAGGUCGCCCUAGCCCAGCUCACGCGCUGGCAUCCCACCGUCUGGGCGCUGGGCCCACGACGGCCCCUGGGCAGGGCUGGGCCCUGCAGACUGUCCGUCGGGGGCACCCGGGCCCCCCAUCGCGGCCAGGCAGCGCUGUCCGCACGAGUCCCCCGCCUAGAGCCGGGCGAUGCAGGGGGCGGGGCGGGGCAUGUCUAGGAGGCGGUCCCCCCACCUCUGGGAGUGGGUGUUUCCGGCAUCCAGUCAGGCCUUUGAGGAAACGCCUGAGGCUCCCGCGGGCCAAAGGGCUCAGCGAGCAGCCGGGAGUUCCCGCUGGACUCCGCGGUCAGAGAGUGCGGUGCGCACGCGGCGUCCCCCGGGGAGACGCGCGGACAGACUCCCUCGAUCUCCCGGCUCGGCCUCCGAUGGGCGGGCAAGUGAGCUCGGCCGGCUCCUUCCGCGGCCUGCCCUGCGCCUCCAAGGCGAACGCGGACUGGAUGUCGGCGCUGAGCUCUCGACUCUGGGACGUGCCACUGCACCAGCUCUCCAUCCCAGGGAGUCACGACACGAUGACCUACUGCCUGAACAAGAAGUCGCCCAUCUCCAGCCAGGAGCCGAGGCUGCUGCAGCUUCUGCGCAAAGUGCUGCCGUGCGUCACCCUGCCCGUGGUGCUCAAGUGGUCCACCACACAGGUGCUGAGCGUCACUGAGCAGCUGGACGCGGGCGUGCGGUACCUGGACCUGCGGAUCGCACACAUGGAGGAGGGCUCCGAGAGGAACCUGCACUUCGUCCACAUGGUGUACACGACGGCCCUCGUGGAGGACACGCUCACGGAGAUCUCCGAGUGGCUGGAGGGCCACCCCCGGGAGGUGGUCAUCCUGGCGUGCAGGAACUUCGAGGGCAUGACGGAGGGCCUGCACGAGUACCUGGUGGGCUGCAUCAAGAACAUCUUUGGGGACAUGCUGUGUCCCCGCGGGGAGGUGCCGACUCUGCGCCAGCUGUGGUCACGGGGCCAGCAGGUCAUCCUGUCGUACGAGGACGAGGCGGCCGUGAGCCGGCACGUGGAGCUGUGGCCCGGGAUCCCCUACUGGUGGGGGAACAAGGUGAAGCCCCAGGACCUCGUCCACUACCUGGAGCGCAUGAAGAGCUGCGGCCGCCCAGGCGGGCUGUUCGUGGCCGGCAUCAACCUCACGGAGAACCUGGAGUUCAUCCUCGUCCACCCGGCCUGGUCGCUGCAGAAGCUGACCCUCUCGGGGCUCCCCUACCUGUGCGCGUGGGUGCGGGCCCAGUGCCCGGGGUCGGCCGCCGGCUGCACCAACAUCAUCGCGGGCGACUUCAUCGGGGCCAGCGGGUUUGUCAGCGACGUCAUUGGGCUGAACCGGAAGCCGCCUGGGGCUGACGGACAGCACGUGGGCGGAGCCGGGCAUCCCGGGGGCUGCUCCUCGGGCGCGUCCUGUGACGUCACAGGGCUGAACCGGAAGCCGCCUGGGGCUGACAGACGGCGCGCUGAGGAGCUGGGCAUCGCCGAGGCUGUUGUCAGUCCUGUCCUGCGGGGCUGGCAGUCCAUCCAUCCAUCCACGGAAUGUGGGUGGCUACAGAGGUGGGGCCGGGUGGCAGGGUCCUUGCGCUCCUCGGUCCUCCGUGUCUCUCAGCGGAUGUAGGGUGUGAGGUGAUGAUUAAAGGCGACUCGUGAUUAGUACAAUCGCAUCUUCCAAGGAGACUCCUGGGUCUGUCUGUGGAUUCCCCAUGGGAGAGGCUGGGGAACCCCCUCCCCCUGGGCGCUGAGAGCGGCCGACACAACCCCCAGCUGGGUCGAGGGGGUGGGGGGGCAGUAUGACACACUGCCCGUAGGGGGCACUGAGCGCAUAGCGAUCCCACUGAGAAAUCCCUUUUAUUAGAUGAGGGGCUGCCCUGGUGGCUCACCUAAGAAGGCCUUCCUAUCUCUCCCUGCUAUUCUUUGGAACUCUGCAUUCAGGUGGCUGUAUCUUUCCAUGUCUCCUUUGCCUGUCUCUUCUCAGCAAUUUGUAAGGCCUCCUCAGACAACCAGUUUGCCUUUUUGCAUUUAUUUUUCUUGUGGGUGCUUCUGAUCACCACCUCCUGUGCAGUGUUAGGAACCUGGGGCCAUAGGUCUGGUACUCUGUGUGCACGAUCUACCCCUUGAAUCUAUUUGUCACUUCCACUGUAUAAUCACAAGGGAUUUGAAUAAAGCAAAGAAACAGGAAAACA